ensembl:rRNA 5S_rRNA 5S ribosomal RNA
UACUUAGAGCAUCUUAAUCUGGACUUAAAAAAUGAACUUGUCGUCUAUCUCAGAAGCUAAGCAGGGUCGAGCCUGAUUAGUACUUGGAUGGGAGACCACCUAGGAAGACCAGGUGCUGUAGGUGU